rnacentral:tRNA from 1 species
CGGGGCGUAGCGCAGCCUGGUAGCGCGCAGCGUUCGGGACGCUGAGGUCGGAGGUUCGAACCCUCUCGCCCCGACCA